rnacentral:rRNA from 1 species
CCUACGGGGCGCAGCAGUGGGGGAUAUUGCACAAUGGGGGAAACCCUGAUGCAGCGACGCCGCGUGUGGGAAGACGGUCUUCUGGAUUGUAAACCACUGUCCCCAGGGACGAAAAUGACGGUACCUGGGGAGGAAGCUCCGGCUAACUACGUGCCAGCAGCCGCGGUAAUACGUAGGGAGCAAGCGUUGUCCGGAAUUACUGGGUGUAAAGGGAGCGUAGGCGGGGAUGCAAGUUGGGUGUCAAAACUACCGGCUCAACCGAUAGUCGCACUCAAAACUGCAACUCUUGAGUGAAGUAGAGGCAG